CCUCUUGAUAUCUAUAAGAGGUCCAGCCUGCCCAGUGACCAAGUUCAACGGCCGCGGUAUCCUAACCGUGCGAAGGUAGCGUAAUCACUUGUUCUUUAAAUGAGGACUAGUAUGAAUGGCACCACGAGGGUUAUACUGUCUCCUUUUUCUAAUCAAUGAAACUAAUCUCCCCGUGAAGAAGCGGGGAUAAACUUAUAAGACGAGAAGACCCUAUGGAGCUUCAAAUAACAAUAGCACUAGCCUCCAUCUUUAUACUCGAGAGAUACAACUAUUAUACUGGCUAACAUGACCAUUAGUUUUAGGUUGGGGUGACCGCGGAGCAAAAACGAACCUCCACAUUGAACGGAGCUUUCCUGAGCUAAAAGCUACAACUUUAAGCACCAAUAAACUGACAUCAAUUGACCCAACACGUUGAGCAACGAACCAAGUUACCCUAGGGAUAACAGCGCAAUCCAUUUCAAGAGCCCCCAUCGACAAAUGGGUUUACGACCUCGAUGUUGGAUCAGGGUACCCCAGUGGUGCAGCCGCUACUAAAGGUUCGUUUGUUCAACGAUUAAAACCCU
rnacentral:rRNA from 1 species